AUAGCGUAUAUUAAAGUUGUUGCAGUUAAAAAGCUCGUAGUUGAACCUUGGGCUUGGUUGGUCGGUCCGCCUCACCGCGUGCAUUGAUCCGACCGAAUCUUUCCUUCUGGGGAACCGUAUGCCCUUCACUGGGUGUGCUGGGGAACCAGGACUUUUACUUUGAAAAAAUUAGAGUGUUCAAAGCAGGCCUAUGCUCGAAUACAUUAGCAUGGAAUAAUAGAAUAGGACGUGUGUUUCUAUUUUGUUGGUUUCUAGAUCCGCCGUAAUGAUUAAUAGGGAUAGUCGGGGGCAUCAGUAUUCAAUUGUCAGAGGUGAAAUUCUUGGAUUUAUUGAAGACUAACUACUG
rnacentral:rRNA from 1 species